CACACACACACACACACACACACACACACACACACACACACACACACGGAAACAGGACUCUCAUGCAGGUGUGUGUUCCACUGUGCCAGGCAUCACUCUCCCUGCCUGCCUUGUGUCCUCCCAUCCUUCUCGGUAACAGAGUGACCCCUCACAUCUUCCACAGCCAGACUUCGUGCCCUGCCAGUUACCAACUGCUCUCGCACAGCACACACUCCUGCGUCUCUCUCUCCCCAGCCCCUGCCAGCUCUGUGCACCCGUUGGACGAGGUGCGCUCGCUAAAUGGCCCUGGAAAUACAACUCUCGGUUUGCUCGAUAAAUCCAAGCAGAAAAUUACGAUGUCCUCAUUCAAUUUUCAACUCAUACAUCGCGUUAUAGAUUUUCUCCCUCUCUGCUAGCGUUUCUCCAGCCCACUAAAUAUUCCAGACGUACGAGAGUCUUCGUCUGAUUCAUUCUAAUAACUUUUUUCAUCAAUAUGACUUUUGAGAUUGCACGGCUAUAGCAAAUUAAAUAUUAUUUAUGACUUUAA